rnacentral:rRNA from 1 species
ACUCCUACGGGAGGCAGCAGUGAGGAAUAUUGCGCAAUGGGGGCAACCCUGACGCAGCCACGCCGCGUGCCGGAAGACGGUCCUAUGGAUUGUAAACGGCUUUUGCCAGGGAAGAACCGCUCCGAUUCGUCGGGGCCUGACCGUACCUGGUGAAUAAGCACCGGCUAACUCCGUGCCAGCAGCCGCGGUAAUACGGAGGGUGCUAGCGUUGUCCGGAAUCAUUGGGUGUAAAGGGUGCGUAGGCGGGUCUUUAAGUCUGGGGUGAAAUCCUGCGGCUCAACCGUAGAAUGGCCUCGGAUACUGGAGACCUUGAGUGUGACAGAGGUCGGCGGAAUUCGUAGUGUAGCGGUGAAAUGCAUAGAUAUUACGAAGAACACCGGUGGCGUAGGCGGCCGGCCGGGUCACAACUGACGCUGAGGCACGAGAGCGUGGGGAGCGAACAGGAUUAGAUACCCUAGUAGUCC